UCACAUUUGUUCCAGAUUUUGAAGAAUCAAAGACAUGCUUCAAUAAAGACAUAUCACAAAGAUCAUUCUUCUUAUAAAGCAAAUGCAAGUACAAGACUACAAGUAGCAAAGUACACUACUGAUUUGAACUAUUCUAAAGCCUGCACACGUAACAGAAAAGCAUGUACUCAAGGCUGACAUACUGACACAAAUCACAGAAGUACAAGGCUAGUUCAUCACAAACCAGAAGAUCAAUCCUGG
rnacentral:lncRNA from 1 species